AGAGAGGUUCUCCGAGCUGCAUAGAGCAGCUGUGUAGGAAGCAGCCAGUCAGGGCCCAGCAGGCUAGUGUAAGAAGAGCUGCAGGGCCACACUGAACAGUUUCUUGCGAGAGGUGGAUACGAGUGGAUGGUGCUCCAGGCUAGCUGCUGGGACUCCACAAGGAGAAGGCCCUGAGACAGACUGUGUAUGACUUGGCCGGAGGGCACAGUCACCGAAGACCCACCAUAAGGAGAGAGACAGAGACAGAGAAUGCAGGCACGUGCACUCGGCCAGGAGGCACUUGCAAGGGGAUGCUCACCCAAAACCUGAUCCAAACCUCUUGGAAGCCAGUGAAAAGACAUCCACUGAUUACUAUGUCAUGGGAUCAGGCCUUAAAUGAGG